rnacentral:rRNA from 1 species
CAGCCGCCGCGGUAAUACGUAGGGGGCGAGCGUUGUCCGGAUUUAUUGGGCGUAAAGCGUGUGUAGGUGGUUUAUUAAGUCUGAGGUUAAAGGCUGAAGCUCAACUUCAGUAUGCCUUGGAAACUAGUAGACUUGAGUAUAGUAGAGGCAAGUGGAAUUUCUAAUGUAGCGGUAAAAUGCGUAGAUAUUAGAAGGAACACCAGUGGCGAAGGCGACUUGCUGGGCUAUUACUGACGCUGAGACACGAAAGCGUGGGGAGCAAAUAGGAUUAGAUACCCUAGUAGUCCACGCCGUAAACGAUGAGUACUAAGUGUCGGAAUUUCCGGUGCUGAAGUUAACACAUUAAGUACUCCGCCUGUGUAGUACGGUCGCAAGGCUGAAACAUAAAGGAAUUGACGGGCACCCGCACAAGCGGUGGAGCGUGCUGUUUAAUUCGAAGGUACUCGAAGAACCUUACCUGGGUUUGACAUCCCACAGAUCACCCUAGAAAUAGGGUUUCCCUUCGGGGCUGUGGUGACAGGAGGUGCAUGGCC